rnacentral:rRNA from 1 species
UUUAAAGAGAGUUUGAUCCUGGCUCAGGACGAACGCUGGCGGCGUGCCUAAUACAUGCAAGUCGAACGAACGGAGGAAGAGCUUGCUCUUCCAAAGUUAGUGGCGGACGGGUGAGUAACACGUGGGCAACCUGCCUGUAAGUUGGGGAUAACUCCGGGAAACCGGGGCUAAUACCGAAUGAUAAAGUGUGGCGCAUGCCACGCUUUUGAAAGAUGGUUUCGGCUAUCGCUUACAGAUGGGCCCGCGGUGCAUUAGCUAGUUGGUAGGGUAAUGGCCUACCAAGGCAACGAUGCAUAGCCGACCUGAGAGGGUGAUCGGCCACACUGGGACUGAGACACGGCCCAGACUCCUACGGGAGGCAGCAGUAGGGAAUCUUCCGCAAUGGACGAAAGUCUGACGGAGCAACGCCGCGUGUAUGAAGAAGGUUUUCGGAUCGUAAAGUACUGUUGUUAGAGAAGAACAAGGAUAAGAGUAACUGCUUGUCCCUUGACGGUAUCUAACCAGAAAGCCACGGCUAACUACGUGCCAGCAGCCGCGGUAAUACGUAGGUGGCAAGCGUUGUCCGGAUUUAUUGGGCGUAAAGCGCGCGCAGGCGGUCUUUUAAGUCUGAUGUGAAAGCCCCCGGCUUAACCGGGGAGGGUCAUUGGAAACUGGAAGACUGGAGUGCAGAAGAGGAGAGUGGAAUUCCACGUGUAGCGGUGAAAUGCGUAGAUAUGUGGAGGAACACCAGUGGCGAAGGCGACUCUCUGGUCUGUAACUGACGCUGAGGCGC